UUGGAGGGCAAGUCUGGUGCCAGCAGCCGCGGUAAUUCCAGCUCCAAUAGCGUAUAUUAAAGUUGUUGCAGUUAAAAAGCUCGUAGUUGGAUUUCUGUUAAUAAUUUAUAUAUAAUAUUUAACAUAUUUAUAUAAUAUUAACAUAAUUCAUAUUACUAUUUAUAGUAUAUGAAACUUUACUUUGAGAAAAUUAGAGUGCUUAAAGCAGGCUUUUGCCUUGAAUACUAGAGCAUGGAAUAAUAUUAAAGAUUUUUAUCUUUCUUAUUGUUCUAAGAUAGAAAUAAUGAUUAAUAGGGACAGUUGGGGGCAUUUGUAUUUAACAGUUAGAGGUGAAAUUCUUAGAUUUGUUAAAGACAAACUAAUGCGAAAGCAUUUGCCAAGGAUGUUUUCAUUAAUCAAGAACGAAAGUUAGGGGAUCGAAGACGAUCAGAUACCGUCGUAGUCUUAACCAUAAACUAUGCCAACUAAAGAUUGGAGGUUGUUCCUUACUCCUUC
rnacentral:rRNA from 1 species